rnacentral:rRNA from 1 species
GAUUAGUGGCGAACGGGUGAGUAACACGUGAGUAACCUGCCCUUGACUCUGGGAUAAGCGCUAGAAAUGGCGUCUAAUACCGGAUACGAGCUUCAGCCGCAUGGCUAGGAGUUGGAAAGAAUUUUGGUCAAGGAUGGACUCGCGGCCUAUCAGCUAGUUGGUGAGGUAAUGGCUCACCAAGGCGACGACGGGUAGCCGGCCUGAGAGGGUGACCGGCCACACUGGGACUGAGACACGGCCCAGACUCCUACGGGAGGCAGCAGUGGGGAAUAUUGCACAAUGGGCGAAAGCCUGAUGCAGCAACGCCGCGUGAGGGAUGACGGCCUUCGGGUUGUAAACCUCUUUUAGUAGGGAAGAAGCGAAAGUGACGGUACCUGCAGAAAAAGCACCGGCUAACUACGUGCCAGCAGCCGCGGUAAUACGUAGGGUGCAAGCGUUGUCCGGAAUUAUUGGGCGUAAAGAGCUCGUAGGCGGUUUGUCGCGUCUGCUGUGAAAUCUGGGGGCUCAACCCCCAGCCUGCAGUGGGUACGGGCAGACUAGAGUGCGGUAGGGGAGAUUGGAAUUCCUGGUGUAGCGGUGGAAUGCGCAGAUAUCAGGAGGAACACCGAUGGCGAAGGCAGAUCUCUGGGCCGUAACUGACGCUGAGGAGCGAAAGCAUGGGGAGCGAACAGGAUUAGAUACCCUGGUAGUCCAUGCCGUA